rnacentral:rRNA from 1 species
CAGCAGCCGCGGUAAUACGGAGGGUGCAAGCGUUAAUCGGAAUUACUGGGCGUAAAGCGCACGCAGGCGGUCUGACAAGUCAGAUGUGAAAUCCCCGGGCUUAACCUGGGAACUGCAUUUGAAACUGUCAGGCUGGAGUCUUGUAGAGGGGGGUGGAAUUCCAGGUGUAGCGGUGAAAUGCGUAGAGAUCUGGAGGAAUACCGGUGGCGAAGGCGGCCCCCUGGACAAAGACUGACGCUCAGGUGCGAAAGCGUGGGGAGCAAACAGGAUUAGAUACCCGUGUAGUCCCUGUCUCUUAUAU